CUUGGGCUGAACCGACAGCUGGGGGACCCCACAGCACCGUGACUUGCCCAAAGCCUGGCAGAGCAGAGCAGCCCCUGCCGCCUGCACGCCGGACGCCAGGGCCCACUUACCAUACACACCCACCGUGAACUCCUGGGAGGUUUGAUGGAGGGAACUUCCACACCCAGCCCCUGGGAAGAGCUCUUUGAGUCUGAAGAGAAGGCAGAGGAGAAGUUGGUUUGCUGAAGUCCAGAAGAGGCUCUGAGGGACACUCCCUCAUGGAAUCCAGCCGCCACACUGCGAGGAUCAGCAG
ensembl:lncRNA VSIG10L-AS1 VSIG10L antisense RNA 1